CAUCCCGACUUACCAACCCGAUGCAAACUGCGAAUACCGGAGAAUGUUAUCACGGGAGACACACGGCGGGUGCUAACGUCCGUCGUGAAGAGGGAAACAACCCAGACCGCCAGCUAAGGUCCCAAAGUCAUGGUUAAGUGGGAAACGAUGUGGGAAGGCCCAGACAGCCAGGAUGUUGGCUUAGAAGCAGCCAUCAUUUAAAGAAAGCGUAAUAGCUCACUGGUCGAGUCGGCCUGCGCGGAAGAUGUAACGGGGCUAAACCAUGCACCGAAGCUGCGGCAGCGACGCUGAUGCGUUGUUGGGUAGGGGAGCGUUCUGUAAGCCUGCGAAGGUGUGCUGUGAGGCAUGCUGGAGGUAUCAGAAGUGCGAAUGCUGACAUAAGUAACGAUAAAGCGGGUGAAAAGCCCGCUCGCCGGAAGACCAAGGGUUCCUGUCCAACGUUAAUCGGGGCAGGGUGAGUCGACCCCUAAGGCGAGGCCGAAAGGCGUAGUCGAUGGGAAACAGGUUAAUAUUCCUGUACUUGGUGUUACUGCGAAGGGGGGACGGAGAAGGCUAUGUUGGCCGGGCGACGGUUGUCCCGGUUUAAGCGUGUAGGCUGGUUUUCCAGGCAAAUCCGGAAAAUCAAGGCUGAGGCGUGAUGACGAGGCACUGCGGUGCUGAAGCAACAAAUGCCCUGCUUCCAGGAAAAGCCUCUAAGCAUCAGGUAACAUCAAAUCGUACCCCAAACCGACACAGGUGGUCAGGUAGAGAAUACCAAGGCGCUUGAGAGAACUCGGGUGAAGGAACUAGGCAAAAUGGUGCCGUAACUUCGGGAGAAGGCACGCUGAUAUGUAGGUGAAGUCCCUCGCGGAUGGAGCUGAAAUCAGUCGAAGAUACCAGCUGGCUGCAACUGUUUAUUAAAAACACAGCACUGUGCAAACACGAAAGUGGACGUAUACGGUGUGACGCCUGCCCGGUGCCGGAAGGUUAAUUGAUGGGGUUAGCGCAAGCGAAGCUCUUGAUCGAAGCCCCGGUAAACGGCGGCCGUAACUAUAACGGUCCUAAGGUAGCGAAAUUCCUUGUCGGGUAAGUUCCGACCUGCACGAAUGGCGUAAUGAUGGCCAGGCUGUCUCCACCCGAGACUCAGUGAAAUUGAACUCGCUGUGAAGAUGCAGUGUACCCGCGGCAAGACGGAAAGACCCCGUGAACCUUUACUAUAGCUUGACACUGAACAUUGAGCCUUGAUGUGUAGGAUAGGUGGGAGGCUUUGAAGUGUGGACGCCAGUCUGCAUGGAGCCGACCUUGAAAUACCACCCUUUAAUGUUUGAUGUUCUAACGUUGACCCGUAAUCCGGGUUGCGGACAGUGUCUGGUGGGUAGUUUGACUGGGGCGGUCUCCUCCUAAAGAGUAACGGAGGAGCACGAAGGUUGGCUAAUCCUGGUCGGACAUCAGGAGGUUAGUGCAAUGGCAUAAGCCAGCUUGACUGCGAGCGUGACGGCGCGAGCAGGUGCGAAAGCAGGUCAUAGUGAUCCGGUGGUUCUGAAUGGAAGGGCCAUCGCUCAACGGAUAAAAGGUACUCCGGGGAUAACAGGCUGAUACCGCCCAAGAGUUCAUAUCGACGGCGGUGUUUGGCACCUCGAUGUCGGCUCAUCACAUCCUGGGGCUGAAGUAGGUCCCAAGGGUAUGGCUGUUCGCCAUUUAAAGUGGUACGCGAGCUGGGUUUAGAACGUCGUGAGACAGUUCGGUCCCUAUCUGCCGUGGGCGCUGGAGAACUGAGGGGGGCUGCUCCUAGUACGAGAGGACCGGAGUGGACGCAUCACUGGUGUUCGGGUUGUCAUGCCAAUGGCACUGCCCGGUAGCUAAAUGCGGAAGAGAUAAGUGCUGAAAGCAUCUAAGCACGAAACUUGCC
rnacentral:rRNA from 1 species